rnacentral:rRNA from 1 species
CGAACGCUGGCGGCGUGCUUAACACAUGCAAGUCGAACGUGAUUUUUGUGGAAAUUCUUUCGGGAAUGGAAAUGAAAUGACAGUGGCGAACGGGUGAGUAACACGUGAGCAACCUACCUUACACAGGGGGAUAGCCGUUGGAAACGACGAUUAAUACCGCAUGAGACCACAGAAUCGCAUGAUAUAGGGGUCAAAGAUUUAUCGGUGUAAGAAGGGCUCGCGUCUGAUUAGCUAGUUGGAAGGGUAAAGGCCUACCAAGGCGACGAUCAGUAGCCGGUCUGAGAGGAUGAACGGCCACAUUGGAACUGAGACACGGUCCAAACUCCCACGGGAGGCAGCAGUGGGGAAUAUUGCACAAUGGGGGGAACCCUGAUGCAGCGACGCCGCGUGAGCGAAGAAGGUUUUCGAAUCGUAAAGCUCUGUCCUAUGAGAAGAUAAUGACGGUAUCAUAGGAGGAAGCCCCGGCUAAAUACGUG